rnacentral:tRNA from 1 species
GCCUGGGUGGCUCAGUCGGUUAAGCGUCUGACUUUAGCUCAGGUCGUGAUCUAGCUGUGAGUUCAAGCCCCAUGUCGGGCU